rnacentral:rRNA from 1 species
GACAGAGGGUGCGAACGUUGUUCGGAAUUACUGGGCGUAAAGCGCAUGUAGGCGGCAGCGCAAGUCGGGCGUGAAAUCCCACGGCUCAACCGUGGAAGUGCACUCGAAACUGCGCAGCUAGAGUCCUGGAGAGGAAGGUGGAAUGCUUGGUGUAGAGGUGAAAUUCGUAGAUAUCAAGCGGAACACCGGUGGCGAAGGCGGCCUUCUGGACAGUGACUGACGCUGAGACGCGAAAGCGUGGGGAGCAAACAGG